CCUACGGGAGGCAGCAGUGGGGAAUAUUGCGCAAUGGGCGAAAGCCUGACGCAGCGACGCCGCGUGAGGGAUGAAGGUCUUCGGAUUGUAAACUCCUUUUGUUAGAGAAGAUAAUGACGGUAUCUAGCGAAUAAGCACCGGCUAACUCCGUGCCAGCAGCCGCGGUAAUACGGAGGGUGCAAGCGUUACUCGGAAUCACUGGGCGUAAAGAGCGCGUAGGUGGGAUAGCAAGUCAGAUGUGAAAUCCUAUGGCUUAACCAUAGAACUGCAUUUGAAACUGUUAUUCUAGAGUAUGGGAGAGGUAG
rnacentral:rRNA from 1 species